GUGUCAACAUGAGCAUGAUGUUUCGGACUUUAUCAGAUCAGACCGCAAGUGCAUCCUCAGUCGCGUGCGCGGCAAGGCAAGGUUGUUCUUCUUCUCUUCGUCGCUCGCAGGGGGGAUGUCGAGCAAGGUGUUGGCGAGUCCGCUCGUCGUGGCAUGUCGUCGUAGGCGGCCUCCUCCUCUACCUCUACCCCGGCCCAAGCGCCGCGGCGGCCAUCGACCUCUAGGACACGCUGCAGGAGGAGGGCGGCGAGCCGCAGAUGGAGGCGGUGCCGACGAUGAGGUGCGCCAAGACCUAGUCGCACGGCACGUGGCAGGAGCCGAUGAAGCGGACGGAAAAGAAGCAGUGACUCCGGGGGAAGUACCCGAUGGACGUGCUGAUGGAGCGGGAGGAACCACGGAACCACGAUGAGACGGUGACGUCGUUCCCAACAAUGGACGUGUUGGACGAGCGGAAGGAACCACAGAAGGAGGAUGAGCCGAUGGUGGGGUUGUUCCUGAUGGACGUGUCGAUGGAGCCGCGGCAGACACAGAAGCGGGAUAAGCAGGCGAUGGGGUCGUUGCCGCUGUUGCCUCUUCAGCUGCUCCUCCUGCUGGGGCGGCGGCGGCGGAGGAUGCAGAGGUAGCGGAUCGGACUGGCUGGUGGGUAGAGAGCGAUCAAGCUCCAAUCAAUUGGUCUGUUAUUUCGAUGCUCAUCGAUCGUCUUCUACACCAAAGUAUUAGACGGUUUAUGAACAGCUCUUGAGCACCAUAUGUAGCUGUUACCUAGCAUGAUUCAACAGGGCUCGAGCACUCAUGAGGUAAUACUGCCAAACAAACGGUCCAAUUCAACAUGACUUAUAAUAUGUAAAAUAAUGAUGAUCGAUGAGCAACGUUCAAGGUUGACCGUGCUUCGGAUCAGAUCAUAACCGCCUCGUCAGUCGCGUGCACGGCAUCAAUAGGAAGGCAAGGUCGUUUUCCUAGUCGUUCGUUCGUCGGUUGGCCGCUCGCGCCCUCUUCUCUUCUCGUCGUAGGUGGUUGCUGCCCUCCUCGGCUCCUCCUCUACCCCAACCCGCGAACCACGGCCGCCACCGACCUGGAGGACACGCAGCAGGAGGAGGGCGGCGAGCCGCAGAUGGAGGCGGUACCGGCGAUGAGGUGCCCCAAGACCUAGUCGCACGACGAGUGGUAGGAGCCAAUGGAGGACAAUAAAGAGCUCCAGGUGAAGUACCCGAUGCGGAUGACGCAGCAGAUGCGGCAGACCCAGGAGCAGAUGCAGAUGGCACUGCCGGAGGGGGUAUUGCCGCUGCUGCUACUACUGCUCAGGGGUACACGGUGGCGGAGGAUGCAGAAGCAACGGACU
rnacentral:rRNA from 1 species